UUAAGGUCGAGUUUAAUCUUAGCUCAGCAUGAACGCUAUUAAUUAGCUUAACACAUGUUAGUCGAAAGAUCUAUAGAUCUUGGCGAAAGGGUGAGUAAUAAAUUAUAAUUUUACCUUUAUGUUAGGUUAAAUACCUUAAAAGUUUAAAUGAACGCAUAAAGAUAAGUUAAAUUUUGGAUUAGGUAGUAGGUAAUUUAAUAGAUUACCUAACCGAAGAUGCAUAAUUGAUCUGAGAGGAUGAUCAAUCACAGUGAUAAUGAAAAAAGGAUCACACAAAAUAAAAUUUGUCAGCAGUGGGGAAUAUUGGACAAGUAGGGAAACCUAGCUCCAGCUAAAUUAUAGAUAUGAUAAUAUCUAAGUAUUAUACAUAAUGAGUUAUAAAUAUAAAUAAUAUCCUGACUAAUUUCGUGCCAGCAGUCGCGGUAAUACGAAAAGGAUAAGCGUUAUGCAUCUUUAUUAGGUGUAAAGUGUAAAUAGAUUGUAAUAUAAAAAUUUAUUAUAUUACUAGAAUGUUUAAAAAGGAAAUAGGAAUUUCUAGUGUAAGGUUGAAAUCUGUAAAUAUUAGAAGGAACGCCAUAAGGCUAAUGCUAAUUUCUUAUAUAACAUUGACAUUAAGUUACUAAAGUGUGGGGAGCAAAUAGGAUUAGAUACCCUAGUAGUCCACAACGUAAAUUAUGAAUGUUUUUGGUAGUUUAACUAUCUUUAAAGAUAACUUUAGAACAUUCCACCUGGGAAGUAUAAGGUCAACCUAGAAACCCAAAAGAAAAGAUGGUCUUCCAUACCAGCAGUGAAGCAUGUUGUUUAAUUAGAUGAUCCACUAAUAAUCUUACCUAUAUCUUGAUUAUUUAAUAUUACAGGCGUUGCAUGGCUGUGUGCAGUUCUUGUUGUAAAAUAUUAUAAAGAACGUAACCCCUUAGUAUUAUUUAUACUUAUACUUUAAGGAUUAACACAAGUCAUCAUGACCCUCAUGAUAUAAGGGCUAUAGACGUGCCACAAUAGUUUUAACAAUUUGUAGCUAUAUUUAUAAAGCUAAUCUUUAAAUAUAACUUUAGUACAGAUAAUAUUCUGAAACUCGAAUAUUUUAAGUAGGAAUUGCUAGUAAUCGUUAAUCACUAUGUAACGGUGAAAUAAUAAAUGGAAGGUGUACUAAUCGCCCGUCAAGGGCUGAAACAGAUUGGUCUCGAUUAUAUUUAAAAUAUUUUUAUAAUAUAGUAAAGAUUUACUUAUUCAUAUACUAAUUUAUAAUUCUAUUUUAAUACUAUAAUCAAAAAUCAAUCAUUAUCGGUUCUAAGUCGUAACUGGUAGGUGUAGGGGAACCUGUACCUGAAUAGUAUUUUAC
rnacentral:rRNA from 1 species